rnacentral:rRNA from 1 species
ACGAACGCUGGCGGCGUGCCUAAUACAUGCAAGUCGAACGCUUCUUUUUCCAUCGGAGCUUGCUCCACCGGAAAAAGAGGAGUGGCGAACGGGUGAGUAACACGUGGGUAACCUGCCCAUCAGAAGGGGAUAACACUUGGAAACAGGUGCUAAUACCGUAUAACAAUCGAAACCGCAUGGUUUUGAUUUGAAAGGCGCUUUCGGGUGUCGCUGAUGGAUGGACCCGCGGUGCAUUAGCUAGUUGGUGAGGUAACGGCUCACCAAGGCGACGAUGCAUAGCCGACCUGAGAGGGUGAUCGGCCACAUUGGGACUGAGACACGGCCCAAACUCCUACGGGAGGCAGCAGUAGGGAAUCUUCGGCAAUGGACGAAAGUCUGACCGAGCAACGCCGCGUGAGUGAAGAAGGUUUUCGGAUCGUAAAACUCUGUUGUUAGAGAAGAACAAGGAUGAGAGUAACUGUUCAUCCCUUGACGGUAUCUAACCAGAAAGCCACGGCUAACUACGUGCCAGCAGCCGCGGUAAUACGUAGGUGGCAAGCGUUGUCCGGAUUUAUUGGGCGUAAAGCGAGCGCAGGCGGUUUCUUAAGUCUGAUGUGAAAGCCCCCGGCUCAACCGGGGAGGGUCAUUGGAAACUGGGAGACUUGAGUGCAGAAGAGGAGAGUGGAAUUCCAUGUGUAGCGGUGAAAUGCGUAGAUAUAUGGAGGAACACCAGUGGCGAAGGCGGCUCUCUGGUCUGUAACUGACGCUGAGGCUCGAAAGCGUGGGGAGCAAACAGGAUUAGAUACCCUGGUAGGCAACGCCGUAAACGAUGAGUGCUAAGUGUUGGAGGGUUUCCGCCCUUCAGUGCUGCAGCUAACGCAUUAAGCACUCCGCCUGGGGAGUACGACCGCAAGGUUGAAACUCAAAGGAAUUGACGGGGGCCCGCACAAGCGGUGGAGCAUGUGGUUUAAUUCGAAGCAACGCGAAGAACCUUACCAGGUCUUGACAUCCUUUGACCACUCUAGAGAUAGAGCUUCCCCUUCGGGGGCAAAGUGACAGGUGGUGCAUGGUUGUCGUCAGCUCGUGUCGUGAGAUGUUGGGUUAAGUCCCGCAACGAGCGCAACCCUUAUUGUUAGUUGCCAUCAUUUAGUUGGGCACUCUAGCAAGACUGCCGGUGACAAACCGGAGGAAGGUGGGGAUGACGUCAAAUCAUCAUGCCCCUUAUGACCUGGGCUACACACGUGCUACAAUGGGAAGUACAACGAGUCGCAAAGUCGCGAGGCUAAGCUAAUCUCUUAAAGCUUCUCUCAGUUCGGAUUGUAGGCUGCAACUCGCCUACAUGAAGCCGGAAUCGCUAGUAAUCGCGGAUCAGCACGCCGCGGUGAAUACGUUCCCGGGCCUUGUACACACCGCCCGUCACACCACGAGAGUUUGUAACACCCGAAGUCGGUGAGGUAACCUUUUGGAGCCAGCCGCCUAAGGUGGGAUAGAUGAUUGGGGUG